rnacentral:rRNA from 1 species
UACAGAGGGGGCAAGCGUUAUUCGGAAUUAUUGGGCGUAAAGAGCUCGUAGGCGGUUUGUCGCGUCUGCUGUGAAAACCUAAGGCUCAACCUUGGGCUUGCAGUGGGUACGGGCAGACUAGAGUGCGGUAGGGGUGACUGGAAUUCCUGGUGUAGCGGUGGAAUGCGCAGAUAUCAGGAGGAACACCGAUGGCGAAGGCAGGUCUCUGGGCCGAUACUGACGCUGAGGAGCGAAAGCGUGGGGAGCGAACAGG